UACGGGGGGGUAAGCGUUGUUCGGAAUUACUGGGCGUAAAGGGCUCGUAGGCGGCCAACUAAGUCGGACGUGAAAUCCCUCAGCUUAACUGGGGAACUGCGUCCGAUACUGGAUGGCUUGGAUUUGGGAGAGGAUGCGGAAUUCCAGGUGUAGCGGUGAAAUGCGUAGAUAUCUGGAGGAACACCGGUGGCGAAGGCGGCAUCCUGGACCAAUAUUGACGCUGAGGAGCGAAAGCCGGGGAGCAAAACAGG
rnacentral:rRNA from 1 species